rnacentral:lncRNA from 1 species
AUGGUCAGAGCAGCCCAUGGCCACAGGAAUGGUGGCCCCUGUACAGCCGAGGCUGCUGCUGGGCACAGUCACCUUUUGGGGCCGUGGGAACGCCGUCUCAGUGGAGGGGCGCUGUUGAGGUUAUUUAUAAUUAUAUAUUUUCCUUUUAAGUGUUUAGGAGUCAGCCAGGCCUCCUGCUUGGGGACUCGAGCCCAGCCAAGUCCUGCGUGGGCCACCCACACAAUGGAGAGCCCGUGCUCAUGGGGGCUGGUUCCCUUCGCACAUCAGCUACGGCCCGAGUUGCUAGAAACAUCUGCAUGGCCACAGCAAAAGCCUGUAAUCCGAUUCUUCGAUCCAGAGUUGCAGCUUGAAAAUUCUUUUUUCUGUGAGGAAAGCGACAGACCUCCCACCUACCUCAUGGGUGGGGUGUGUGGAGUUCCCCAUCUCCUCUUCGGGAGACCGCCUCUGACUCUGGUAAUACAUCCACCCACGUUUGCACUUCAGGACCAUCUCAAAACUUGGUAGACAAGAAGAAGCAGGGGCUUCAGCAUACUUGGGGCAACUGUUCCCCAGAUCUGGAUGACAGUAUUUGAAUCUGUGCGAGGUGCCUGGGCUCUGCGCUCUUGAGUAUCCACAUAAAUUCAUACUUGGCAGUGAGGCACCCAUGGUUGCCCUUCUACAGUAUUCUAGGUGAUCUACCUGGCAUCUCUCCGACCCCACAGCCCAUUUUUAUUUGACUUUGAGUUUUUGCUCAACAUGUUAGCUGUUAUUAUUAUGUUGACAGAACAACUGUCCCACCCUUAGCAUAGUCCUAGUACCUUGGAUCUCUUGUACUACAAUGAGAAAUGAACCAGUAAGUUGGAGGAAUUUGAGUUAUGAUUCUGCCAACAAACAGUCUUACGAUAGAUAGUGGAAAAUCACAUACCUGUUCUGGGCUUCAUCUGCUAAAGGGAACUGGCAAGAGCUAAAUUUUCACUGGCUCAUAAACUUGGAGACCAAAACCACGCUUUUAACCAAGUUUCCCUUCCCACCACCCCCUUUAACGUGUCAUUUAAGGCAGCAAUGCAUCCUCCUGCUGAGACAGGCUUUGGAGACCCACGGGAAUCAAUGGGUUCUGAGUCCUUUUCAGUACUGACAUUUGUUUGCUCGCUGUCUCCCAAUGCCAAGUUUUUCUUCCACUCCCACAACUUGCACUUAAACUGCCCAAGCUUCUGUGACUUCUAAGUGCUCCACGUGGCUUCAGGCUGCUCCUUGAUCUCCAGGCUGUAGUCUCAACCUUCCAGAGCCUAGAAGGGACAGCAACUGAGUGACUUUUAAAGAAUCUCAACUUAGAAAGACUGCAGUGGAGGGUCAUAGAAGUCGGGUGAUGGCAAGCACUCAGAGGUCAGGUAAAAGGACAUCAGUGGGCAGGCAAUUCCUUAAAUGCCACAUCCUAGUAGCCAAACAAAGAGGCUUCUGGGGAAGACAAAGGAAAUGGUGCCAGUUUCGGAGUGCUGCCUGGAGCUGCCCCACCUACAGGCACUGAGAACCAACCUAGCUUUCUACUCCUGUGACCAGCGAUGACAAACUCCCACCUACACUGCUGGCCUGAGUGUUGAAGAACUUCACGCACGCAGGUAAUACAAACAUUUACUCUCUGGAAGUGUUGUGUUGGUGCUACUUGCCAGCAAAGGCCAAAAACACGCUUUCCUAAACCCCCUCAUCCUGUUAUAAGGCACACACUUCAGAGUUAAAAAAAAGAAAAUAAGCAGCAGUAAAAAAUGAAACAGCGAAGGAGAAACUAAUUGGCUAUGCCUCUGUAGAAAAAGGGAAUCAGAGUGAUUCUAGGGAAAACAAAACCAGCGCACGAGGAAGAGAUUUCAGGAACACCCAGAUCAACUGUUAAUAUGUACGAAACCCAACAUAAAAAGAUCCCUUUGUAUAGAACAGAAGUGCCACAGAUGGGGGCUUGUUGUCACUGAAAGUGCUAAAAGGUUCUCCGUCCCUGAUCUAGAAGGUAAACACGGACAGCCCGCUCUGUAUGGUGAGUAAUUUACGCCUCUGUAUGUUUACUCCAGAAGGCUAACAAAGUCUGUUAUUUAAAACAGAACCAUUAGAAAUAUGAUUUGCUUCUGAGGAUAUAGCUCAGCGAUAGACUCUUUGCCUAUCACACGAGGUCCUGGGUUCCAUCCCCAGAAUAGCAAUGAAGGAUGAUGAUCUUCCAAUAGGAUAACUACUGAAACAAUACAUAGAAAUUGAGACAAAAUUCUAACCACCUUAUAUUUGCCUCCUUAAGCCACUCUAAAAUUUUGCAGACACUCCCAGUUAGUAUGCUUAUCAAUCUAAACUUACUAAUAAAAAACUUAAAAUUAUAACAUUGGUCAAGGAGCUGGCUUCAAGAACUGGAGGAAGAAAAAAACUAAAGGAGAACCUCUCAGCUGAUCAGAAAGUCCACAGUGGCAUAGCUGCUUACGUACCUCAGGGAGAGACUACUUAAAUUCUCAAGGCGGCUCCUUUGUUAUGUAACCGUGGGGAAAUUGUCACGCUUUAC